UGAUUAUACUUGACUGUUUUAUUUUUUUCAUGUUAAUAAUCAGUAUCCUUUCAUUUUAGCUUGAAAAAUACCUUCCAGCACCUUGUAAGGCAGGACUAAUGGUGAUGAAUUGGUCAGCUUUUGUUCUGGAAAGUAUCUCUGUUUCAUUCCUGAAAGAUCAACUUUGGGAUCUUCUGUGGACUACUGUUAUGGAGUACAUAUUUGUGUCCUUGUGGAAUAUUGAAACCCUAAUCCCCAAUGUGAUCAUAUUUGAAUAUGGGACCUUUGGGAGAUACCUGGGUCAUAAAGAUGGAGCCCUCACAAUUGGACUAGUGCUCUUCUAAGAAGAGACACUGGAGAUCUUGCUUCUUCUUUUUCUUUCUCUCUCUACCAUGUGAGCCCAGAACCAGAAAGAGAGCUCAUCAGGAACCAAAUCAGCUGACACUUUGAUCUUGGAAUUCCCGGCCUCCAGAACUAUAAGAAGUUACUAUGCUUAAGCCACACAGUCAUUGGUAUUUUUUUAGCAGCCUGAACUAAGACAUCUACAAUGAAUUUAUUUUUCUAGACAGUGGCUAUUACGGAAUGGAUUUACUCCAAGUGCUGUAUGUAAUGUGACAGUGGAUCUGAAUUUGGCAAUGGGAAAGAGAAAUCUUAUAGUCAAUUUAAAAAUAUCAGUGAAUUUGAAGACAGGGGCAGAAGUUUACCUGGGGAACAACUUAUGUGAAUAUGUCUGUGCAGUGGGAAGGCUGAAUAUUUUCUUGUUGUUAGGCAUUCCCCCAAAAGAUAUAAAUGUAUCAUUUUUAGGACAUUUCUCCUUAGAACACUAUUUUUACCCUUUCAAAUUCAAGGUGUAAGGAGACUCAUUUCUUUUACAGGAUGAUAAAGGGGUGCAGAUUACAUUUUAAUAAUGCAAACUGUCAAAUAAUAGAGGCACAUAUUUAAUGCAAACUGUCAAAUAAUAGAGGCACAUAUUUAGAAGAAGGGUUUCAUCAAUCUCUGGGUAAAUUAUAAUCCCAGGUCCAACUCUUUUAUGAUAAUAAGAAAAAAAUUUUUAUGAAGAAUUCCAGUGAAGAUUGAUAAUAAAAAGAAUGACAGUUUCUAAGGAGGCAAUAAAUUGGUACUUUUUUCUUUUAUAUUUCAUGUUUAUCAAAAGAAUGGCAUAAAUUUCAAAUGCUAGUGAUAUUUUAUAAUCCAAACAGUGGAUUGCCUUCUAUAGUUUUCUGUAGCAUACACAGGAAAUAUAUAGUCUGUCUUUUCUUUUCUUUUUUUUUUUGACAAUGAUCAUAACCUACUGAAGUAAGUGUGAUACAGCUCCUUCAGUGAAAAGAAAAAUGUGUUUUCCACUAAAGUUCAAUAUGGAUUGAUAACAUUAACCUCAAAAGGAUCACAGAAAAACUGUAUACAUCAUUUAUUCUUAUUUUCUCUAUUAAAUCACCUUAAUAUUUUCAUCUACAGUAUUUGGGUUGUAUUGGAGGCGUAUUAAAAUAUUUUCCUGUAAUUUACUGUUGCAAAAACAGAGAAAUUCUGCUUUUUGGUCUUUUGUGGAUGUAUUUAAUAAAUUCAAGGCAAUUUCUCUACCUUUCCUUUCCUUCCUUUCACUCCAACUCCCCUUCUCCUAUUAAGCUUCUUC
ensembl:lincRNA